rnacentral:tRNA from 1 species
GGCGGCAUAGCCAAGUGGUAAGGCAGAGAAUUGCAAAUUCUUUAUUCUUCAGUUCGAAUCUGAAUGCCGCCU